rnacentral:rRNA from 1 species
CCUACGGGGAGCAGCAGUAGGGAAUCUUUCACAAUGGGCGAAAGCCUGAUGGAGCAACGCCGCGUGCAGGAUGAAGGCCUUCGGGUUGUAAACUGCUUUUAUAAGCGAGAAAUAUGAUGGUAACUUAUGAAUAAGGAUCGGCUAACUACGUGCCAGCAGCCGCGGUCAUACGUAGGAUCCGAGCAUUAUCCGGAGUGACUGGGUGUAAAGAGUUGCGUAGGUGGCAUAAUAAGUAGCUAGUGAAAUCUGGUGGCUCAACCAUUCAGACUAUUAGCUAAACUGUUAAGCUCGAGACCGUUAGGGGUAACUGGAAUUGCUAGUGUAGGAGUGAAAUCCGUAGAUAUUAGAAGGAACACCAAUAGCGUAGGCAGGUUGCUGGGACGGUUCUGACACUAAGGCACGAAAGCGUAGGGAGCAAACGGGAUUAGAUACCCCAGUAGUC